rnacentral:rRNA from 1 species
GACGUAGGGCGCGAGCGUUGUCCGGAUUUAUUGGGCGUAAAGAGCUCGUAGGCGGUCUGUCGCGUCGGCUGUGAAAACUCGGGGCUCAACCCGAGCCUGCAGUCGAUACGGGCAGACUAGAGUGCUGUAGGGGAGACUGGAAUUCCUGGUGUAGCGGUGGAAAUGCGCAGAUAUCAGGAGGAACACCGGUGGCGAAGGCGGGUCUCUG